AGUGAACGCUGGCGGUAGGCCUAACACAUGCAAGUCGAACGGCAGCACAGUAAGAGCUUGCUCUUACGGGUGGCGAGUGGCGGACGGGUGAGGAAUACAUCGGAAUCUACUUUUUCGUGGGGGAUAACGUAGGCAAACUUACGCUAAUACCGCAUACGACCUACGGGUGAAAGCAGGGGAUCGUUGGACCUUGCGCGAUUGAAUGAGCCGAUGUCGGAUUAGCUAGUUGGCGGGGUAAAGGCCCACCAAGGCGACGAUCCGUAGCUGGUCUGAGAGGAUGAGCAGCCACACUGGAACUGAGACACGGUCCAGACUCCUACGGGAGGCAGCAGUGGGGAGUAUUGGACAAUGGGCGCAAGCCUGAUCCAGCCAUACCGCGUGGGUGAAGAAGGCCUUCGGGUUGUAAAGCCCUUUUGUUGGGAAAGAAAAGCAGCAGGUUAAUACCCCGCUGUUCUGACGGUACCCAAAGAAUAAGCACCGGCUAACUUCGUG
rnacentral:rRNA from 1 species